UAGUGGCGAACGGGUGAGUAACACGUGGGCAAUCUGCCCUGCACUCUGGGACAAGCCCUGGAAACGGGGUCUAAUACCGGAUACGAGUUUCACAGGCAUCUGUGAUUCUGGAAAGCUCCGGCGGUGCAGGAUGAGCCCGCGGCCUAUCAGCUUGUUGGUGAGGUAACGGCUCACCAAGGCGACGACGGGUAGCCGGCCUGAGAGGGCGACCGGCCACACUGGGACUGAGACACGGCCCAGACUCCUACGGGAGGCAGCAGUGGGGAAUAUUGCACAAUGGGCGAAAGCCUGAUGCAGCGACGCCGCGUGAGGGAUGACGGCCUUCGGGUUGUAAACCUCUUUCAGCAGGGAAGAAGCGAGAGUGACGGUACCUGCAGAAGAAGCGCCGGCUAACUACGUGCCAGCAGCCGCGGUAAUACGUAGGGCGCAAGCGUUGUCCGGAAUUAUUGGGCGUAAAGAGCUCGUAGGCGGCUUGUCCGCGUCGGUUGUGAAAGCCCGGGGCUUAACCCCGGGUCUGCAGUCGAUACGGGCAGGCUAGAGUUCGGUAGGGGAGAUCGGAAUUCCUGGU
rnacentral:rRNA from 1 species